GAUGCCAAGACGGUUGCUACUAGCACCCGGGGACA
rnacentral:tRNA from 1 species